GGCCUGAGUCUGUUGGGAUUUCUAAAAAAAAUUGAGGUGGUUCCUCCAGUCUGAAUUAUAUGUGUCAGAGAAUGGAUCAUUGAUAGGCUUGGAGUAACCUUGGGCAGCUUGAACUUGUUCUUGGAUGAAAGGUGGAAAUUGUGCAGCCAUGGGACAUUCACUCACAUGAUGGAUUGGGCUAGCACAGAUAGAAUAAAUCUCCUGAUAAUUGAAAGGUGGUGUGUAUUGCGCAGGAGAUUGUUGACCUAGGACUAGGAAUUGAUC
rnacentral:lncRNA from 1 species